rnacentral:rRNA from 1 species
AGAGUUUGAUCAUGGCUCAGGAUGAACGCUAGCGAUAGGCCUAACACAUGCAAGUCGAGGGGCAGCACAUGAAGUAGCAAUACUGAUGGUGGCGACCGGCGCACGGGUGAGUAACGCGUAUGCAACCUACCUACAACAGGGGAAUAACUCGUUGAAAGACGGACUAAUACCCCAUAAUACAGGGAUCCCGCAUGGGAAUAUUUGUUAAAGAUUUAUCGGUUGUAGAUGGGCAUGCGUUCCAUUAGCUAGUUGGUGAGGUAACGGCUCACCAAGGCAACGAUGGAUAGGGGAACUGAGAGGUUUAUCCCCCACACUGGUACUGAGACACGGACCAGACUCCUACGGGAGGCAGCAGUGAGGAAUAUUGGCCAAUGGACGCAAGUCUGAACCAGCCACGUCGCGUGAAGGAAGACGGCCCUACGGGUUGUAAACUUCUUUUGUAAGGGAAUAAAGUGAGCCACGUGUGGUUUUUUGCAUGUACCUUACGAAUAAGGAUCGGCUAACUCCGUGCCAGCAGCCGCGGUAAUGCGGAGGAUCCGAGCGUUAUCCGGAUUUAUUGGGUUUAAAGGGUGCGCAGGCGGGGGAUUAAGUCGGCGGUGAAAUUUUGCAGCUCAACUGUAAAAGUGCCUUCGAAACUGGUUUCCUUGAGUGUAGAUGAAGUAAGCGGAC